ensembl:lncRNA
UGAAAGUUCAUGCAAUUUGCCCAUAUUCUCAUAAAAUAUUCAAACCUAUAAAAUGGCAUGGUAGAGAAAAAAUUAACUAUGCCAGAAUAAAUUGAUGCUGUGUUGACUUGACCAUAGAAGACCACACAGUGAUUAUACUACCAUAGAACUAAUGGAGAGGAAAUUUAACAAGCAUGAAGAGUGCCCCCUCCUCUGACAGUGUUUCAGUAUACCUCAGGACUUGUCAUUCUCCUGUUCUAAAAUGUAAAAAAGAAAAUGGUGGGGGAAGGAGAAAAGAAAAGUUUUAUUCCAGAUGUGAUGCCCAUGUGAUUAUACACUACAGUAUUAUUGCAGUAAGGUGAUCCAGGAAAGGCAAGGAGUAAUCAGGUAUGGGAAUAUUCCUGAUUAUAACAACGCUUAUAUUUCCGAGUUAAUAUAUUAAGGACAGGCCUAUGAAUAAGAAAAAUACAACAAAAAAAUGUAUGAGAACAAGAGCACAAGGCAAUUAAGAUGAACAAUAUGUAAUUAUGUUAAAUGGACGUGUGAAAGCACGUUACACAAUCGUAUGCUAAAAUUACAGAAAGGCUACCUGUAUAAUUUCCAUCCUGCAGUUAUUUUAUUUCUGUUAUUUUCCUACCAUCCCC